rnacentral:rRNA from 1 species
GAUGAACGCUGGCGGCGUGCCUAAUACAUGCAAGUCGAGCGAACAGACGAGGAGCUUGCUCCUCUGACGUUAGCGGCGGACGGGUGAGUAACACGUGGAUAACCUACCUAUAAGACUGGGAUAACUUCGGGAAACCGGAGCUAAUACCGGAUAAUAUAUUGAACCGCAUGGUUCAAUAGUGAAAGACGGUUUUGCUGGCACUUAUAGAUGGAUCCGCGCCGCAUUAGCUAGUUGUUAAGGUAACGGCUUACCAAGGCAACGAGGCGUAGCCGACCUGAGAGGCGGAUAGGCGACAUUAGAGCUGGGACGGGGUCAAGACUCCUACGGGAGGCAGCAGUAGGGAAUCUGCCGCAAUGGGGGAAAGCCUGACGGAGCAAGGCCGCGUGAGUGAUGACGGUCUUCGGAUCGUAAAACUCUGUUAUUAGGGAAGAACAAAUGUGUAAGUAACUAUGCCCGUCUUGACGGUACCUAAUCAGAAAGCCACGGCUAACUACGUG